GUUUGCUGCUAUUGUUGCCCAGGUUCUGGAGAGAAAAGAUUUAGCAGGUGACAAGAUAUCUGUUGAUCAUCUUUCAAAGAUUUGUGCUUCAGCUGUCAGAGAAGCUUUAGCUAAUGUCUUUGGUGAUAAAUUUUAUUUUUUCGCNAAGGAACUUUGAGAGAUCAUUUGGGAGUACAUUGAGUACCCUUAGAUUAAUUAAUGAAGCAGCC
rnacentral:misc_RNA from 1 species